rnacentral:rRNA from 1 species
CCUACGGGGGGCUGCAGUAACGAAUCUUCCGCAAUGUACGAAAGUAUGACGGAGCGACGCCGCGUGUAGGAUGAAGCCCUUCGGGGUGUAAACUACUGUCAGGGGACAGAUCGUCCCCAGAGGAAGGCACGGCUAACUCUGUGCCAGCAGCCGCGGUAAGACAGAGGUGCCAAGCGUUAGGCGGAAUCACUGGGCUUAAAGCGUGUGUAGGCGGAUUUCUAAGUACCUUGUGAAAUCCCACGGCUCAACCGUGGAACUGCUUGGUAUACUGGUUAUCUUGAGCUGACUAGGGGCUACCGGAACAAAUGGUGGAGCGGUGAAAUGCGUAGAUAUCAUUUGGAACGCCAAUGGUGAAAACAGGUAGCUGGGUAUGCUGACGCUGAGACACGAAAGCCAGGGGAGCGAACGGGAUUAGAUACCCUUGUAGUC